CCUACGGGAGGCAGCAGUGGGGAAUUUUGGACAAUGGGCGCAAGCCUGAUCCAGCCAUGCCGCGUGCAGGAUGAAGGCCUUCGGGUUGUAAACUGCUUUUGUACGGAACGAAAAGACUCUGGUUAAUACCUGGGGUCCAUGACGGUACCGUAAGAAUAAGCACCGGCUAACUACGUGCCAGCAGCCGCGGUAAUACGUAGGGUGCGAGCGUUAAUCGGAAUUACUGGGCGUAAAGCGUGCGCAGGCGGUUAUAUAAGACAGAUGUGAAAUCCCCGGGCUCAACCUGGGAACUGCAUUUGUGACUGUAUAGCUAGAGUACGGCAGAGGGGGAUGGAAUUCCGCGUGUAGCAGUGAAAUGCGUAGAUAUGCGGAGGAACACCGAUGGCGAAGGCAAUCCCCUGGGCCUGUACUGACGCUCAUGCACGAAAGCGUGGGGAGCAAACAGGAUUAGAUACCCUGGUAGUCCACGCCCUAAACGAUGUCAACUGGUUGUUGGGUCUUCACUGACUCAGUAACGAAGCUAACGCGUGAAGUUGACCGCCUGGGGNGCGCGCGAGUAGAGAGAGAGUAGNGNGNGAGAGNGCGAGNGACGACGAGGGAGGAG
rnacentral:rRNA from 1 species